AGCCUCUCAAAGUGUUGGGAUUAAGAUGUGAGCUACCAUGCCUGGCCUAGUGACUGUCUUUCAAAUUUCUUUUGAUAUUGGGCAGUGCCCCUGGCUACCCAAAAUGCAUGAGUUCAACACUGAAGGUUCCAUAGUGGUCGACUUGCUCCCAUACUCAGUGUCUCUAAUUCAGCCUUUAGAUCGGGGGUCAUAAGGGCCUUUAAGGCUCAUUACGCUCAGUACUGUAUGGAAAGAAUUGUCAACACUAUGGAAGAGAACUCUGAGAGAGAGAUCAUCAUGAAAGUCUAGAAAGGUGACAUCUUUGAAAAUGCCAUCGUUACAGAAUAAAGUUGUAAAUGCCAUCAAGCCUGAAAUCACUAAAUUCCUGCUGAAGAAAACUGUGUCCAGAUAUGCAUGACUUUACCAGAUUUAUGACAGAGCCAAUCAAGGAAUCAUGAAAAUGAUUGUGGUCAUGGCAAAAACAAAACAAAACAAAACAAAAAAGUGGCCAGAGGAGGUGAAUGGUUUCAAGAUAGGCGUCAUGGAGAAAUUCAAGAGCUAAUCAAGGGUCAACUAUAUUUUGAGCCUGAAGAAAUGAAUAUUUUCAAUACUUAUUUUCAUCCAUUAGUAUACUGAAAGGAAAUGAAAGUGACAGCAUCAAUCAAUAGUCAUCAAUUUCCAUUAAAAUUAGAGUUGGGGUAAUUAACAAAACAAAGCAUUCUCUAAAAAUAUUUGAAGGUAAUUAUACAUUUUUUUCUCACUUAUUUUUAGUAGCAUUGUCCUUUUGUAUUUUUUGGAUAGGUCAUUCUCCUGGAAAACACUUUUCCCAAAGAACUAACAAUUAAUUAUCUUGCAUCCAAGAUCCAAUAUUAGUGAAGUUGAAAUAAGACUGGAAAAAGCAGCAGCAGCCUUCCGCGUCGCUGUUGCCUCUUCCACUUCCUCCGCCGCCGUGUGCCCUUGGGAGUCCCGCGCCCCACCAUGCCCAACAUCGUGCUGUUCUGGGGCAGCUCGCAUCAGGACCAGUCCCAGCGCGUGGCCAACUGCCUGGGCCUGGAACUGGGCAAGGUGGUCACCAAGAAGUUCAGCAACCAGGAGACCAGCGUGGAGAUUGGUGAAAGUGUGAGAGGGGACGAUGUCUACAUCAUGCAGAGCGCUGUGGGGAAAUGAACGACAACCUGAUGGAGCUCCUCAUCAUGAUCAAUGCCUGCAAGAUCGCAUCAUCAUCCAGGGUGACUGUCGUGAUCCCGUGUUUCCCAUAUGCCUGACAAGAUAAAAAGGACAAGAGUCGUGCCCCAGUUUCUGCAAAACUUGUGGCCAAUAUGCUGUCGGUGACUGGGGCGGAUCACAUCGACACCAGGGACCUGCAUGCCUCUCGGAUACGGGGAUUCUUUGAUAUUCCUGUGGAUAAUUUGUAUGCGGAGCCCGCAGUCCUGCAGUGGAUUCGGGAAAACAUUGCUGAGUGGAAGAACUGUAUAUCAUUGUUUCACGUGAUGCUGGGGGAGCCAAAGGGUCACGUCAAUCGCAGACAGGUUGAAUGUGGAAUUUGCUUUGAUCCGCAAAGAGAGGAAGAAGGCGAAUGAAGUGGACCGGAUGGUCCUGGUGGGCGACGUGAAGGACCGCGUGGCCAUCCUCGUGGAUGACAUGGCUGACACAUGCGGCACCGUCUGCCAUGCCGCGGACAAGCUGCUGUCAGCUGGAGCCACCAAAGUGUAUGCUGUCCUUAUCCAUGGGAUCUUGUCUGGACCAGCUAUUUCCAGAAUAAAUAAUGCUGCCUUUGAGGCUGUGGUCGUCACAAACACAAUUCCGCAAGAGGACACAAUGAAACACUGCACCAAGAUUCAGGUCACUGACAUUUCCAUGAUCUUGGCCGAAGCAAUCCGAAGGGCACACAAUGGGGAAUCCGUGUCCUCCCUGUUCAGCCAUGCCCCGCUCUAAAUCCAGAAUGGGAAGUGACCAGCAAGCCUACUCUGACUUCUGACUUGUUUUUGUUUUCUGGAUGUUUAGCUGUGGGUACUCAGCAAUGAUAGGUUAAUCACUGGCAAAAGCAUCCGAUCUUUGUAUGUGCUAAGAUUUAUUGUUUCCCGUUCUAAAGCUCAAGAUCAUUUCUUUCCAGUUUUUGGGGAAAUGGUGGUGGUUAUUUGGUCUUUAAGUGAACUGUCUUAAAUGAGAAACAUUUUUGUCAUUUUGACUUUUAACGGGUACAUGUGAUCUCUUCCUUUGUUCUUUCAGUACUUUGAGGCGACGACUUUCAAGUAUAUAAUUUCAUUGUGGAAGUCAUAGUUUAUAUAUUUCGAGGUUGCCAAAGGUGACUUCAGAUUAAAGCCUUCUGUGUAAAUAUAUAUGAUAAUGCCUAUGGACAUUUGGGUAAAACCCUGUAUAGAAUUAAUUAGCCUUUUACUUUGGAGUGAACCUUGGAAAAUUUAUAAUUCUCAUACCAUGGAUUUUUCUUUGUCUUUUUCCUUUUUUUUUUUGGUAACUCAGUUUCAGAUAAACCAUCUUGGUUAUUGUGCUUAAUUUGGACCAAAUUUUAUUUAGCUUAAUAUGGACACUGACACAUUUUGGGGGGUAUACAUCAGACAUAUCAGAGCAGUGUAGUUCUGGAUCAUUUUUAAAAUUACCUUUUCUAAAACGUAACUGUCACUUACCUGAAAUGCUGCUUCCUAAAAUUCCAAAAUUAUAUUGAGCAAUCACCAAGGCCUAAAGCCAAUUGACUUAAAAGUAAUCAUUUCAGCUAACAUUAAAUUUAAAGCCUAAGAAUGUAUAGAGCUAGUUUUAAAAUAAUGAUCUCAGAUUUUUACAAAGGAUAUAGGAACCUGCAUUAUCAUUCUCUGAAUUAAGAACUGAUGGUUUCUAUCAUUAUUUAGCCCCACCUUUGUAUUUUAAAGUCCUUCAGAAUACUUUUAUGAACUAAUGAGACUGGACUUAGCCACACACAUUGGAAAUUCAGACCUUGACUAUUUGUUUUUUCCAGUUCACAAAGGUGAUGAAGACUGUCUUGGAGCAACUUAAUCCCAGAAGUUGUACAUUUCUUGCUGCUCCUGGCGUGGAAACUUAAGUGAGACCACUAAAUACAUUGGUCCUGUCCAAUUCUACUGAAUGGGGGUGGACUUGGCAUUUAUCUGGCCAAAAACAGGAGCCAGAGAAAUAUGAAUAUACCAAAGUUGUUUAGCCUCCAACUUAAAUUACAUUAGUCAACUUAUAGAUAUUCAUAUGGUCGCUUUUCUUUUUAGAUACUACAUCAACUAGAUUCAGGAAUAUAUCAUUUGCAGUGCUUGUAUUGGUUUAAAAUAUAAAAUUUUAAGAUCCUCUAACAUUGUACUAAAAAAUUUCAGUAAGAUCAUUCUGACUGCUUUCAAAAAAAAAAAAAAAA